GCCGGCGUAGCUCAGUUGGCAGAGCAGCGGUUUCGUAAACCGCAGGGCGGUGGUUCGAUUCCACUCGCCGGCU
rnacentral:tRNA from 1 species